GACGAACGCUGGCGGCGUGCCUAAUACAUGCAAGUCGAGCGGAUGGAUGGGAACUUGCUCCCAGAAGUCAGCGGCGGACGGGUGAGUAACACGUGGGCAACCUGCCCCUAAGAUCGGGAUAACUUCGGGAAACCGGAGCUAAUACCGGAUAUGAUUAUGUCUCACAUGAGACAUAAUGGAAAGACGGUUUCGGCUGUCACUUAGGGAUGGGCCCGCGGCGCAUUAGGUAGUUGGUGAGGUAACGGCUCACCAAGGCGACGAUGCGUGGCCGACCGGAGGGGGGGAUCGGCCACACUGGGACUGAGACACGGCCCAGCCGCCUACGGGAGGCAGCAGUAGGGAAUCUUCCGCAAUGGACGAAAGUCGGACGGAGCAACGCCGCGUGAGUGAAGAAGGUUUUCGGAUCGUAAAACUCUGUUGUUAGGGAAGAACAAGUACCAUAGUAACUGAUGGUACCUUGACGGUACCUAACCAGAAAGCCACGGCUAACUACGUGCCAGCAGCCGCGGUAACAC
rnacentral:rRNA from 1 species